rnacentral:rRNA from 1 species
UAUUACAAUGAAGAGUUUGAUCCUGGCUCAGGAUGAACGCUAGCUACAGGCUUAACACAUGCAAGUCGAGGGGCAGCAUGGUCUUAGCUUGCUAAGGCCGAUGGCGACCGGCGCACGGGUGAGUAACACGUAUCCAACCUGCCGUCUACUCUUGGACAGCCUUCUGAAAGGAAGAUUAAUACAAGAUGGCAUCAUGAGUCCGCAUGUUCACAUGAUUAAAGGUAUUCCGGUAGACGAUGGGGAUGCGUUCCAUUAGAUAGUAGGCGGGGUAACGGCCCACCUAGUCUUCGAUGGAUAGGGGUUCUGAGAGGAAGGUCCCCCACAUUGGAACUGAGACACGGUCCAAACUCCUACGGGAGGCAGCAGUGAGGAAUAUUGGUCAAUGGGCGAGAGCCUGAACCAGCCAAGUAGCGUGAAGGAUGACUGCCCUAUGGGUUGUAAACUUCUUUUAUAAAGGAAUAAAGUCGGGUAUGUAUACCCGUUUGCAUGUACUUUAUGAAUAAGGAUCGGCUAACUCCGUGCCAGCAGCCGCGGUAAUACGGAGGAUCCGAGCGUUAUCCGGAUUUAUUGGGUUUAAAGGGAGCGUAGAUGGAUGUUUAAGUCAGUUGUGAAAGUUUGCGGCUCAACCGUAAAAUUGCAGUUGAUACUGGAUAUCUUGAGUGCAGUUGAGGCAGGCGGAAUUCGUGGUGUAGCGGUGAAAUGCUUAGAUAUCACGAAGAACUCCGAUUGCGAAGGCAGCCUGCUAAGCUGCAACUGACAUUGAGGCUCGAAAGUGUGGGUAUCAAACAGGAUUAGAUACCCUGGUAGUCCACACGGUAAACGAUGAAUACUCGCUGUUUGCGAUAUACUGCAAGCGGCCAAGCGAAAGCGUUAAGUAUUCCACCUGGGGAGUACGCCGGCAACGGUGAAACUCAAAGGAAUUGACGGGGGCCCGCACAAGCGGAGGAACAUGUGGUUUAAUUCGAUGAUACGC